AUGAGCGACUGAACUAGAUGGAGGGGAGACGCACACAAUCCAAACCCUGACUCUUCUCCAGGAAACUUCAGGAAAGCAUCCACCCUCCAUUGGUUGUUCACUGCGAUCUUGAGAGGAACUGUAACAUUUUCUGGCUGAAAGUGGUCUGUGAGGGCUGAAGUAGCCUCAACGGCUCUUGCUCCGUGAUGACGAAACAGACCCACAGAGGGGGAAGCCAUUGGGAAAUUCCAUGAAGCAGGUGGAGGGAGAGAGGGAGAUAAAGGAGGUGGGAGCAAGCUAGCUUCUAGGCCAAGUGAGCAUGUAAGCAUCUCCCACUGAUACAGGCCAGCCCUGCUUGAUCCAGGCAAUCCGAUGGCCAGAGGAGAAUGGACCCUCCUUCCCUACCUAGUCCUGGCUCCAGGCUUCCACCCCAGCUUACAGGUUAUAAUCCAUCAUCAAGGGAAGUCAGAGUAGGAAUUCCGGACAGGAAGAUGGAGGCAGGAACUGAAGCAGAAGCCAUGAAGGACCGCUGCUUACUUGCUCAGCUACUUUCAUUACAUAACUCAGAAGCACUUGCCCAGGGGUAGCAUCACCCACAAUGGGCUGGGCCUUUCCACAUCAAUCACCAGUCAAGAAAAUGCCCCACAGACUUGCCCAAAGGCCAAUCCGAUGAAGGCAAUUCCUCAACUGAGGUUUCCUCUUCCCAUCUGUCAAGCUGACAACUGAAGCUAAUGAAGACACUGGCUCACUCCUUACCACCAUCACCCCCAACACUGUGACCAUACUAGAACAUUCUGUGUUGGCUUUGUCUCCGUUCUCAAAGUUUCUAAUUCAGGGACCUCAGAGCACUGCCCAUGAUUCCCCCAUACACACACUUUGAGGCCCUCCAAUCUACUCUUCCUCUUAGUUCUGCAUUUCCCUGAGGAAGUCGGCUUAAUCCCAUUGGAUGAGUUUAGUACCAUCCAAACUAAACAGUAAGCAGCGUGACACCAGCUCAGUCAGUCCAAAUGGACUGUCAUCCCACUACAGUCUUUGCCCACAUGUCACAUUUAACAGUCGUUUUAUUUUUUUAAAGUGUGUGUUAUCUGUGGACAAAUGUGCUGGAGAGUCUACUCUCUCCAUCGUACAGGGCUCCCCCUUGUUUCCUUUUUGAGACAGGGUCUUACUAUGCAGCCUCAGUGGAACUCACUAUGCAAAACCACUUACCUGUCUCCCAAGAGCUGGGAUUAAAGGUGUGUACCACCAAA